CCUACGGGAGGCUGCAGUGGGGAAUAUUGGACAAUGGGGGGAACCCUGAUCCAGCCAUGCCGCGUGUGUGAAGAAGGCCCUCGGGUUGUAAAGCACUUUCAGUGAGGAAGAACGCCUGGUGGUUAAUACCCAUCAGGAAAGACAUCACUCACAGAAGAAGCACCGGCUAACUCCGUGCCAGCAGCCGCGGUAAUACGGAGGGUGCGAGCGUUAAUCGGAAUUACUGGGCGUAAAGCGCGCGUAGGUGGCUUGAUAAGCCGGUUGUGAAAGCCCCGGGCUCAACCUGGGAACGGCAUCCGGAACUGUCAAGCUAGAGUGCAGGAGAGGAAGGUAGAACUCCCGGUGUAGCGGUGAAAUGCGUAGAGAUCGGGAGGAAUACCAGUGGCGAAGGCGGCCUUCUGGACUGACACUGACACUGAGGUGCGAAAGCGUGGGUAGCAAACAGGAUUAGAUACCCGAGUAGUC
rnacentral:rRNA from 1 species